GACGAGCUCUCCAAACGUUAUUCGGUAUCACUGGGCUUAAAGAGUUCGUAGGCGGUCUGGUAGGUGAGGUGUGAAAUCCCCCGGCUCAACCGGGGAACUGCGCUUCAAACCGCCGGACUGAGGGAGACAGAGGUGGGCGGAACAGGAUGGUGGAGCGGUGAAAUGCGUUGAUAUCAUCUGGAACACCGGUGGGCGAAAGCGGCCCACUGGGUCUCAUCUGACGCUGAGGAACGAAAGCUAGGGUAGCGAACGGG
rnacentral:rRNA from 1 species